CGGACGGGUGAGUAAUGUCUGGGAAACUGCCUGAUGGAGGGGGGUAACUACUGGAAACGGUAGCUAAUACCGCAUAACGUCGCAAGACCAAAGAGGGGGACCUUCGGGCCUCUUGCCAUCGGAUGUGCCCAGAUGGGAUUAGCUAGUAGGUGGGGUAACGGUUCACCUAGGCGACGAUCCCUAGCUGGUCUGAGAGGAUGACCAGCCACACUGGAACUGAGACACGGUCCAG
rnacentral:rRNA from 1 species